rnacentral:rRNA from 1 species
CCUACGGGAGACAGCAGUGGGGGAUAUUGCACAAUGGGGGGAACCCUGAUGCAGCGACGCCGCGUGGGUGAAGGAGCGUUUCGGCGCGUAAAGCCCUAUCGGUAGGGAAGAAGGAGGACGGUACCUGACUAAGAAGCCCCGGCUAACUACGUGCCAGCAGCCGCGGUAAUACGUAGGGGGCACGCGUUAUCCGGAUUUACUGGGUGUAAAGGGGGCGCAGACGGCAGCGCAAGCCAGGAGUGAAAGCCCGGGGCCCAACCCCGGGACUGCUCUUGAAACUGCGCGGCUAGAGUGCAGGAGGGGCAGGCGGAAUUGCUGGUGUAGCGGUGAAAUGCGUAGAUAUCAGGAGGAACACCGGUGGCGAAGGCAGCCUACUAGACUGCGACUGACGUUGAGGCACGAAAGCGUGGGGAGCAAACAGGAUUAGAUACCCUUGUAGUC